rnacentral:tRNA from 2 species
GGGGCGUUCGUUUAAUGGUUAGGACUCCAGGUUUUCAUCCUGGCAACAGGGGUUCGAUUCCCCUACGCCCUACCA